GACUAUAGCCACAAAAGCCUAUAGACUCUAAGAGUACAACAUCCCUUCUGAUCUUAGAAGCUAAACAGGGUCAUCCUUGGUUACUACUUGGAUGGUAGACUACUAAUGAUAUCCAGGAGCUGUAGGCU
rnacentral:rRNA from 11 species